GGGGGCGAAAGGAUUCGACGGAGCAGUGAACUUAGAAGCGCGCGCCGAGGUGCCCGUAGGCCUCGUAAAACCACGGGCAAAACACAACAGCCAAUUCUGAAUUGGCUCUGGCGGCUUAGCUGCCACGUCCGACCGGUCUGAGCCUGCCGAGGCUGGAUCGGGCGUCAUCAAGGUAGGCUGGUUCUCACGAUCCGCACGAGUCGGGAGGACGAGAACACAUCGAGCUAGCGAUUCCGUGACCUAGUCCGUUGGCGUCCGGGAUCGCGAAGGUGGAUAACGGACUACGCGCGUAGUGCUUCUUCCGGAUCUGCUUUCGGACGAGGGUUCAAUUCCCUCCGCCUCCACCA
rnacentral:tmRNA from 1 species